rnacentral:rRNA from 1 species
AUGACCAAGAGAAAGAGGAACUACUAUCUGCUGCAUGACGAAGAGGACCCAGAAAGACCUAUCAAAAACUCUAUUGGAAAAGUGAUGUUUCUCACAGCGGUCGCAAGACCACGGUUUGAUGAAGAUGGGAACAUGACAUUCUCCGGAAAAAUUGGGGUAUGGCCAUUCGUGAGAGUGACUGCAGCAAAAAGAAGCAAGAACAGGGAAAAAGGGACAUUGGAAACAAAGCCUGUCAUAGUGACGAGGGAUGUGAUGAGAGAGUACAUUAUACAGAAGGUUGUGCCAGCGAUUCAAGCAUUGUGGCCUGCAGAUGAUGAUGGACAACCCAUUUUUAUCCAGCAAGAUAACGCGAGAACACAUAUCCUACCUAAUGAUCAAGCAUUCGCAGAAGCUGUGGACAAAAGUGGCCUGGACAUCAGAAUAAUGUAUCAGCCUCCAAAUUCUCCGGACAUGAACGCCCUGGACCUUGGGUUCUUCAGCUCGAUUCAGUCGCUAACAAACUGA